GAUGAAGAACGUAGCGAAAUGCGAUAAGUAAUGUGAAUUGCAGAAUUCAGUGAAUCAUCGAAUCUUUGAACGCACCUUGCACCCUUUGGUAUUCCGAAGGGUAUGCUCGUUUGAGUGUCAUUGUACUCUCACACUUCUAAUUCCUUUCGGGAUUGGGAGCGGUGGACUUGGGUGUUGCUGCUUUAGUUGUGGCUCACCUCAAAUAAGUUAGUGCAACUCUUGGUUGGACAUAGUACGGCGUGAUAAGUGUCUUCGCCGGCGCCUCUGUAAGGAGGGUGGCCGAUCGGGAGCUCUGUGCUUCAAACCGUCUUCGGACAAUCUUUGACAACUUGACCUCAAAUCGAGUAGGACUACCCGCCGAACUUAAGCAUAUCAAUAAGCGGAGGA
rnacentral:misc_RNA from 1 species